GUAUCCCCUGGAGUUCCUCCUGCCGCUUCAGUAAUAUAAUCAUCUAUUGCUAACUUUGAUGACGAUAUAUAUUACUGAAGGGUUUGGAGGAACUCUAGGUGUCAC